rnacentral:rRNA from 1 species
UACGGAGGGAGCAAGCGUUACUCGGAAUUAUUGGGCGUAAAGGGCGCGUAGGCGAUUCGAAAAGUCAACUGUGAAAGCCCAGGGCCUAACCCUGGAAGUGCAGCUGAUACUGUCGAAUUUGAGUUCCGGAGAGGAAGGCAGAAUUCCCGGUGUAGCGGUGAAAUGCGUAGAUAUCGGGAGGAAUACCAGUGGCGAAGGCGGCCUUCUGGACGGAUACUGACGCUGAGGCGCGAAAGCUAGGGGAGCAAACGGG